UACGUAGGUGGCAAGCGUUGUCCGGAAUUAUUGGGUGUAAAGCGCGCGCAGGCGGCCUCUUAAGUCUGAUGUGAAAGCCCCCGGCUCAACCGGGGAGGGCCAUUGGAAACUGGGAGGCUUGAGUAUAGGAGAGAAGAGUGGAAUUCCACGUGUAGCGGUGAAAUGCGUAGAGAUGUGGAGGAACACCAGUGGCGAAGGCGACUCUUUGGCCUAUAACUGACGCUGAGGCGCGAAAGCGUGGGGAGCAAACAGG
rnacentral:rRNA from 1 species